AGGACCUAGGGUGUAGAAUAAGACUAAACAAAAGUCUUGGAUUAUAAGAAACACAAAAGCAAUCAUAAGAGGGGCUUCGGAAGUAGUUGUCGGCGUCACUGUUAUCGGGAAAAGGCUAUCAAUAGAAAGAAAAAAAAGGAAGAAUUAAAAUAACGCCAUGUGAAACAAUCCAGAUUGAUGAGUUCCCUGCAAACAUAAGAAAUCAAGAGGAAUGGGAGGGCAGAGUGCUUGGUUCUAGCAGAAGCAGCGAACAGAGAAACCAACAAAGGGGAAAAGAAAAGCUGACACAAUGUUUUAAAUCAGAUUACAUUUACAAACGGAGAGAUCUGAAGUACUUACCGAAAAUUUUGUAAUCGGGCUAUUCGAAGGAUGACUCGCGAGGCAAAGUUUUGUUCGGAUUGAGGUAAGUAACAAUUAUAAAUCUGGACCUUAGGGUAUGAAACCCCGGUGUUUCAUACUAUUUUGAUAAAUGAGGUGACACACAUGCUAAGUAACGAGUGUGUGUGCAUGCACCGGUAGAGAUUGUGACUUGGUCCGUCCUGUAGCGACUAUUAAGCCGCAUAUUUUGAUUUAAAAUAUUAUUAUAAUUCGUGUUUUAGAGAUUGAUACUAUACGUUGGGUUGUACGCGGUGUUUGGGGCCUUACACCGACCUGUUUAGACCUUAGGGGUGUUUUUACUACUUUCCUCUCUCUGUUUGAUUUGAAAGCUUAUCAUCAGUCAUAUUUUACAUGUUACUUGUUUAAAAACGGUUUCAUCACUCUAUUUCUUAUAUAAAAAAAAUUGUUUGGGCUGUGUUCCCUAGUUUUUACUGGUACGCCCGAGUAGUCGUGAGGUUAGUGACUAAGAGAGGUCUAGGACCUAAUGGUGAGGAUUUUAUGUCUAUUAUAGAUCGGGUUGCACGCCGCACCGAUAUUAUAUAUAUGGAUGGGCUACAUGCCACAACGAUAUAUAUUGGAUCUGGCUGCGCACCGUAGCGAUAUGACGCUUGGGCUGUAGGAGCCCCUCCGGAGUCUAUACACCACCAGUGAGCGUAGUCGACUAUAUAUUAUGGAUUGGGCUGCACACCGCAGCGAUUAUGAUGAUGAUGAUUAUUAUUAUUAUUGUUAUUAUUAUUAUUAUUAUUAUUAUUAUUAUUAUGAGAUAUUUAUUGAACCGCAAUGUCAAGUGUGCGUACUGCGUGACAAGGGCUGAAUCACAAGUGGAUGAGAGGCUUGCCCGAGGGGCUAUAUUUACGAGUGAUAAUUGGCUCAAAGGGCUUGUUUAUGAUAUUUUGUUGCUUUUACUCUUCUUUUAUAUACUAAGCCUCUAUUGAAAAAUGUUGAAUAAAUGUUUUCAAAGAAUUUUGAAUUGAAACUGGAGUUUUACGAGAUAAUUGGCUAUUGAACUGCAGAUUUGACUUGAUAUUUCUGUUAUGAUUUCUUAUAUGAAUUCAAAUACUCGUCACUACAUUCAGACUUUAUUUACAUUAGUUAUUUACUUAGUUGGCGUACUCAUAUUAGUCCUUGCACCUUGUUUGCAAAUUCAGGUGCUCGAGCAUUAGAGUGUGAGCUUCCAGCACUCUCAGAGUUUAUCCGGAGAUCGCAAGAAAGCUGCACAGCGUUCGCAGCCCUGCCUUCCUCCUUCCUAUCUUAGUAUUUUGUUAAUUCAGACUGGUUUUAAUAUUCAGAUUGUGUUUUUGUUAUACUUAGAGGCUCAUGACUAGUGACACUAGAUUCGAGUUGUAUUUGAGUAUUUUUGUACUGGUUUCCUCAUAUUUCUGUUGGUUUCUAUAUUACAUACUCCCUACUUUUAUAUUGUUUGAGUUAGUUUGACUCGGCAUGGAUUUUAAGAAAAAAGAAGAAGAUUUUUGAAACUUGUAGUCUUGAAAUUUU
rnacentral:lncRNA from 1 species